CAAGACCUUGCGCUGAUUGAGCGGCCGAUAUCAGAUUAGCUAGUUGGUGAGGUAAAGGCUCACCAAGGCGACGAUCUGUAGCGGGUCUGAGAGGAUGAUCCGCCACACUGGAACUGAGACACGGUCCAGACUCCUACGGGAGGCAGCAGUGGGGAAUUUUGGACAAUGGGGGCAACCCUGAUCCAGCCAUGCCGCGUGAGUGAAGAAGGCCUUCGGGUUGUAAAGCUCUUUCAGCCGGGAAGAAAACGCAUGGGUUAAUACCCUGUGUGGAUGACGGUACCGGAAUAAGAAGCACCGGCUAACUACGUGCCAGCAGCCGCGGUAAUACGUAGGGUGCGAGCGUUAAUCGGAAUUACUGGGCGUAAAGCGUGCGCAGGCGGUUUUGUAAGACAGGCGUGAAAUCCCCGGGCUCAACCUGGGAACU
rnacentral:rRNA from 1 species